rnacentral:ncRNA from 1 species
AUUUCAUCUUGAAUUCCAAUUUAAUCAAAAUUUUCAUUUACACCAAGCACGGAUAAACGACGGGAGUAACUAUGACUCUUAAGGUAGCCCAAGUGCCUUGUCAUCUAAUUCGUGACGCGCAUGAAUGGAU